rnacentral:lncRNA from 1 species
GAUUUUAAGGUUGAUUCCGUGUGCUUAUCUCCAACACUUCCUACCCUACGUCCACAAGGCAACUGGAGGGAACCACGUUGUACGGAUCCCACACCAUCUUCUACCUCACCGAGGACAAAACACUCUCGCCGAUCACCAUCGAGCUCACCCGCCCAGCGUCCCUAACGGCCCCCCAGUGGAAGCAGGUGUUCACGCAGACUUCGGACGCCACCCGCGUGUGGCUGUGGAGGCUUGCCAAAGGCCCAUGUCUGCGCGUACGACGUGGGCUACCACCAGCUCAUCAUUCAAUGAUAAAAGAUCAUCUUGAAGAAUCUAACUUUACGAUUCUUCUGAAGGCACCUGGAGAUCAAGGAGGGUGAAGAGAAAAAAAAUGGACGCACAAACUCUAUUGACCUGCGGAAGAAGUUU